GAGGGGAGGUUCAGCCAACAAGAACUACUAAUUCCUGUAUCUGAGUCUAAAACAUUAACUCCCUU
rnacentral:tRNA from 1 species